rnacentral:rRNA from 1 species
ACUCAAAUGAAUAGACGGGGGCCCGCACAAGCGGCGGAGCGUGUGGUUUAAUUCGAUGCAACGCGAAGAACCUUACCAGGGCUUGACAUGCUAGUGGUACGGAUCGGAAACGUGAAGGACCCUUCGGGGAGCUAGCACAGGUGCUGCAUGGCUGUCGUCAGCUCGUGCCGUGAGGUGUUGGGUUAAGUCCCGCAACGAGCGCAACCCUCGCCGUCAGUUAUAUUUCUCUGACGGGACCGCUGGGAUAAACCCAGAGGAAGGUGGGGACGAAGUCAAGUCAGCAUGGCCCUUACGUCCUGGGCUACACACACGCUACAAUGGCCGGUACAAUGGGCUGCCAAGGCGCGAGCCGGAGCUAAUCCCGCAAAGCCGGCCUCAGUUCAGAUUGCAGGCUGCAACUCGCCUGCAUGAAGGCGGAGUCGCUAGUAACCGUAGGUCAGCACACUACGGUGAAUACGUUCCCGGGCCUUGCACACACCGCCCGU